UCUUCGGACUUAGCGGCGGACGGGUGAGUAACGCGUGGGAACGUACCCUUUGGUACGGAAUAGCCCCGGGAAACUGGGAGUAAUACCGUAUGGUGUCUUCGGACUAAAGAUUUAUCGCCAAAGGAUCGGCCCGCGUUGGAUUAGGUAGUUGGUGGGGUAAUGGCCUACCAAGCCGACGAUCCAUAGCUGGUUUGAGAGGAUGAUCAGCCACACUGGGACUGAGACACGGCCCAGACUCCUACGGGAGGCAGCAGUGGGGAAUCUUAGACAAUGGGCGCAAGCCUGAUCUAGCCAUGCCGCGUGAGUGAUGAAGGCCCUAGGGUUGUAAAGCUCUUUCAGCUGGGAAGAUAAUGACGGUACCAGCAGAAGAAGCCCCGGCUAACUCCGUGCCAGCAGCCGCGGUAAUACGGAGGGGGCUAGCGUUGUUCGGAAUUACUGGGCGUAAAGCGCGCGUAGGCGGAUUGAAAAG
rnacentral:rRNA from 1 species